rnacentral:rRNA from 1 species
GAUGAACGCUGGCGGCGUGCCUAAUACAUGCAAGUCGAGCGAACAGACUAGGAGCUUGCUCCUCUGACGUUAGCGGCGGACGGGUGAGUAACACGUGGAUAACCUACCUAUAAGACUGGGAUAACUUCGGGAAACCGGAGCUAAUACCGGAUAAUAUAUUGAACCGCAUGGUUCAAUAGUGAAAGACGGUUUUGCUGUCACUUAUAGAUGGAUCCGCGCCGCAUUAGCUAGUUGGUAAGGUAACGGCUUACCAAGGCAACGAUGCGUAGCCGACCUGAGAGGGUGAUCGGCAACACUGGAACUGAGACACGGUCCAGACUCCUACGGGAGGCAGCAGUAGGGAAUCUUCCGCAAUGGGCGAAAGCCUGACGGAGCAACGCCGCGUGAGUGAUGAAGGUCUUCGGAUCGUAAAACUCUGUUAUUAGGGAAGAAAAAAUGUGUAAGUAACUAUGCACGUCUUGACGGUACCGAAUCAGAAAGCCACGGCUAACUACGUG